rnacentral:lncRNA from 1 species
AGAUUUCUUCUCAAUCUUGUCAGGUUUCAAAAGCAGGAGUGACCUUCAUAAAGAUAUAGCUUCGGGGCGGUUCCAAGAUGGCCGAAUAGGAACAGCUCCAGUCUACAGCUCCCAGUGUGAGCAACACAGAAGACAGUUGAUUUCUGCAUUUCCAACUGAGGUACUGGGUUCAUCUCACUGGGGAUUGUCGGACAGUGGGUGCAGGACAGUGGGUGCAGCCCACUGAGCAUGAGCCGAAGCAGGGAAAGGCAUCGUCUCACCCAGGAAGCACAAGGGGUCAGGGAAUUCCCUUUCCUAGCCAAGGAAAGGGGUGACAGAUGGCACCUGGAAAAUCGGGUCACUCCCACCCUAAUACUGCACUUCUCUGAUGGUCAAACUCUACAAGCCAGAAGAGAGUGAGGGCCAAUAUUCGACAUUCUUAAAGAAAAGAAUUUUCAACCCAGAAUUUCAUAUCCAGCCAAACUAAGCUUCAUAAGUGAAGGAGAAAUAAAAUCCUUUACAGACAAGCAAAUGCAUCAACUUUUUUUCCAAAUUUGUAUCAGUUUUGACAUUUGCACAUAAUUUGUUUGGAUUAUACUUAACAGAUGUUUGGUAUUAAUAUGUGCUUAUGAUUUGGAAUGCUAUGGUUAGAGAAAAUAAAGCAUAAUGGUUUUGGUCACAAGUGCUGAGUCCAAGAGACCUGGAUUUGAAAUGACUGUACCACUUACUAGAUGUAUGAACUUCUAUAAUCCUCUCUGAGCUUCAGUUUCCCAUCUUGAAAUGGGAACAAUAAUACAUUAAUGGAGUUUUCAAUUUGUAUUGCAUGUUCAUCAUGUGUGUUCAGUGGUGUUUUUAGUGGUGGUAUAUUGGCUUCUGCUCUAAGAAAAUACUAAUAAACUUCUACUUAUUUGGAGCUUAUUUUGCAAUAAAUAUGAGAAAGAAAUAAAGCCAGAAAAAUAGAAAAGUAAGGCAAAACUGCCUGUGGAGUGGUGUAAUGAGGAGGAGGCAGAAAGAAUCUAUGCAUGUUCCUUCUCCAGGAAUUUAAGAAAACUUCUUUCUAUAGUAAUUCUUUUAAAAUAGUUUAAAUAGUUGAUCUGCUUGCAAAGGCUUGCAGACAUCAAGGAAUGUACUUUCUAAGAACUCCUUGAAAUCCUUUUAAAAAACUUACUGACUGUGGGAUUCUAUAAGACAGAACAGGGUAAGUUUACAUUUAACUGACUUUUAACUCCUAGAGCAUAAUUUGAGUUGUAUUAAAAACAUUUUUUAAAGCAUAAAUCUGUUAAAAACAAUAGUAAAUAGCAAGAGUUCAGAGGACAUAAGCUAAGCAUUUUCCAGCAUGUAGUAACCAAUAUACUAAUGUUAGGCAUUGGCACUGUUACUGUAUUGAAAAAAGGGCUUGGUCUCCAUUUUUGUUAUAUUUGGAAAAAUAUUUGUUAACAAUUUUCUAUUCUAUGCUACUCCUGGGAGGAAGCUUCAAAGGCCUCAGCCACAAGUAGCUCUAGCUCAAGCAAAAACAAAGCAUGUUGAGAAUUGUGAACAGUCAGUGAUGCAACACAAGGUGGUGCUCUUAUCCCAGUGAGUGCUGUAGAGCCUUGUUAGGGCAUUAGACAAAGGAUGUACAACUCCAAAAGAUAUGGUUGGUAUAAACGCCAGUGAGGAUCUGCCGGACAGACUGAACAGCUGACUGGGGGGCACAAAGCCAAAGGUGACUUUUCUUAGAAUGUAGACUGGUAUAAUAAUGCAGGGGUGCAAAAAGCAGCGUAGCAAAAACCUAAGAAAGAUAAGAACGAGUGUCUGUGCUUUAUAGUAUAUUUAUUACUUGCUCUUAUUAUUCAUUUUAGUCUUAAUAACAAUCAUCUUUACAUGGCUUUGCCAUACACGUGCCUAAAACAAAUGUUAGAUAAUGAUAUUUCUAUGUAGAAAUAAUGGCUUCCCAUGGUCUUCAUGAUAAAAUCCUGCUUUGUCUCCUGGCAACUUUCACCCCUUCUUCAGGACUGAAAUGUCUGAAGUUCCUGAAAUGCAUCCUUCUCUCUUGUCUCUGUGAUUUUGCACAAGCUGGUGUUCUACCUGGAACUUACUUUCUCCUUUCAUCUUCUUGGACAAUUCCUGUUCCUUCUUUCUGGGUUAACACAGAUAUCACCCCCUCCUAGGCCUUCCUUAAUUACCUCCACGUAACAGGAAUGUGCGCAUUGAAGCUAUUAAUAGUAUAUGUGAAGUACUUAAUAGAUGUAUUCACUUAACAAAUAGUAUCUACUGUUUUCAUACAAGUCCAAUAGUUUUAGUCUAUGUACAUAUCAAUCAUUUUUAUGUAUUUAUUUAUGGGUAUUUACUAUUUUCUAGAUCUUUUAGUCACUUAUGUCUUUAUUAAUAACCAGACUGUCACUUCAUAUUCUCAGUGUAAAAUCUUCCUUUUUAUACAGAUGAUAUUUUAUGUUUUGUUUACAGUAUUCUUCCUGAUUAGUUAGUUGAAUAAGUAGUUUCUCAGUACUCAUGUACAAGCUGCUGUUCUAAACACUGAAAGUAUAGGACAUAAAAAUGGAUAGCAUAAUGGAGACACCUAUUGUCUAGUGAUUCUUAAUAUUUAUUGUUCUUUAGAAUUUUAAGAUUAAAUUGCAUCAUUGCUUUGGAGAGAAAACGGAUAAUAAUAAUGUUUUUCCUGGUUUACAGCUUUUUUUCUGCUAUGAAACAGCUUGUUUUAUGCUAUUUUCUAACUAUAGUUUAUAUUAUUGAUUUUAAAAAGCAUUAACGCUUGCCCAUAGUAAAACUGU